CACGGGCCUGUUGGCGCCUUGUGGGCGUCCCCACCCAAGCUCCUCUGUAAAGGUGUGCACCCCCACUGGAUGGCAUCAGUCAAAUCCUCUCCCGUGGCUCAUCAGUACCAAUGUCUUGAUUCUUAUUAUCUACUUUCUUCAAACACAUUUUAUCUCUUGCGUAUGUACUGCUCGAACCAUCUAAUUACUAAGUUGAAGUCAUAAUGCAAACACAUUCAUAGAUAUGACCAGUUGUCGACAUUGCCCUUCAAAAACAUACCAUCCAUGAAUGAUGUAAGCAAUGAAUUUCAAUUUUCAAUUAUCUGACAAUCACAC
rnacentral:lncRNA from 1 species